UGGACAUCUAUUGGCCAAUUCGUGCAAGACAGUGUGCGUUAUGAGCUCGAUAGGCAACUCGAUAUAACGCAACGAAGAGCCGAAUCUCACACUAAAUAAUAUUUUUAUUAAACACGCGUUGACAUAGCUUGACGGAAAACGCAGUCACCUGAUAAGAGACAGCAGGAAGUCCAGUGAUGUGACGUGGAGUCCCGAUAUUUCCGGUCUUAGGGAUACGCUGUACCACAGGGACGUGUUAUACGCAAUAGUGCGCCACUUUCUACACACUCUAGACAUACUACAUAUUUCUUUGUGGCUCAGAUACGAAAAUAUGUUCAACAAAACUUUAUCUGGCAGUUUUUCGAUCGUCUAUAUGGAAAAUAAAAUAAAUCACAAAAACAUGUUUAUGGGUACCUGUAUAAAAUGUAUAAAGAGACAAACAAACGCAGUUUCGUGAUUUCAGCUUAUUUUAGAGAUAUAAAUCCGAGUAAAAUAAGAAAACUGGAAAAUUGGAAAGUAUACCUGAUAAGGAUAAUAUCCCGUUUAGCCACAUAUAAUGAAAGCUUUCACUAACGAACAACAAAGCGCCUGACACAAGUCACAAAAUGGCAACUACACAUACAAACAAGUAAAUAUUAUGCAUGAAACAUGCAUCAUCGUAUAAUAUUAUAAUGCUUGUAAAUGUCAUGUAUAAUGUACACAAAUAUUACUCUGUGGCUAGAACGUAUCGAUAUUGGAAUAUCGUAAUCAAUAUACCUACUCGCGAUAUCACCUAUUUACUAUAGAUUCUUUGGAACUAAGCCAUUUUCAAACACAAAAACUUCAACCAUGGCAUUUUUUCAUGCGUAUUAAGUAGUUUACAUCUACGAUGUACCCAUAUUGAAAUAUAUUAAUAUAGUAAUGCGCUUGGCUGUUAACGAUUACAAUGUAUUAUGUAUUUUUCAAAUGAUGUAAACAAUUAUUUAAAAAUAUAUUGAGUAAAAAUGUAUGGUGAAUUUUUUAAGUGAUAUAAUUAUUAUGAUAUAAAUAAUUAAUAUAUUUUGAUCUAAUAUUACUUUUAUGAAUAAUUCAUUUUCAAUAUAAUAAUAUUUAUUUUUAUGCAUUGUAAUAAUUUUGAAUACUGACAUGCAAAAUAAAUUUUAAAUAAUUUA